rnacentral:rRNA from 1 species
UACGUAGGGUGCGAGCGUUAAUCGGAAUUACUGGGCGUAAGCGUGCGUAGGCGGUUCUCCAAGUCCGUUGUGAAAGCCCCGGGCUCAACCUGGGAAUGGCAGUGGAAACUAGGGGACUGGAAUCUGGCAGAGGGGGUGGAAUGCCGCGUGUAGCAGUGAAAUGCGUAGAGAUCCGGAGGAACACCGAAGGCGAAGGCAGUGUCCUGGCGAGUAUCCUGACGCUGAGGUGCGAAAGCCAGGGGAGCGAACGGG